CUCCCUCCCUCCCUUACCCCAUGCCCCCGCCCCCAUCUGUUUCCCAGUUAUGCCUGCCAUCCCAAUUGGCCAGUUUUACCAGAUACUUCUCAAGAUCUAAGGCACGAUAUUGGUAAAGUUGUCCAGAAAAGGAUAAGAAGGACGUAAGGAGCCGGAACAUGAGUCAAAGGAGCUCGGCCGCGCAGCAGAGCCAGCACGAGCAAGAUGCACUGAUGAGACAAAGAUCUGCGUGAGCCAAGUGUCGACCUUUCAUCUUCUCCCCACUUUUUUUGUCUUUUGCCUAAAAAUGGGAACACAGAAUGUCUUGUCAAAGGUCACCCCAGGAGGAGAGGGAGAAAGAACAGGGAGUCCAGGAUUGGGUCCCCUAACUGCGGUCGCUUCACCAUCAGAGUCAGCUGACUGAGCACUCAGAGCGAACCCCUUUGCACGGUGAAGGCUACGGAUGCCCCCUCCCGAUAGCGCAACAUCUUGCGGGUUCGGUUUUCCAGUCUCAGGCAAUACUCAGGGCGAUAACCCUUCCUGUCGCCACAACCCACAGGUGAGAGGGGCAACCCAUCAGCGGGUUUCUAGAAGCGAGCACCACAGUAUUUGUUCCUCCGGCAUCUGCCCUUGGCACUCCUGACCUGGCUUAAUAAAUAUGUGUUGAAUGAA